rnacentral:rRNA from 1 species
CUUGACUUGCAAAUAAGAGGUCCAGCCUGCCCAGUGAAUUUUUAACGGCCGCGGUAUCCUAACCGCGCGAAGGUAGCAUAAUCACUUGUUCUUUAAAUGGGGACUCGUAUCAACGGCAUCACGAGGGUUCUACUGUCUCCUCUUUUUGAUCAGUGAAAUUGAUCUUCCCGUGAAGAAGCGGGAAUAUUUGUAUAAGACGAGAAGACCCCAUGGAGCUUUAAACCAAAUAGCAACUUAACCAUAUAUUGCCUAAUAACUUUAAGCCCGUGCUACAAGGUUUUUGGUUGGGGUGACCGCGGAGUAAAGCACAUCCUCCACGACGGAAAGACUUAAUCUUUAUUUAAGAACUACAAUUCUAGAAAUUAGUAUACUAACGUUUACUGACCCGACAAUCGAUCAACGGAACA